UGUGUGUUAGUGGAAGCGUCUGGAAAGGCGCGCGAUACAGGGUGACAGCCCCGUACACAAAAAUGCACAUGCUGUGAGCUCGAUGAGUAGGGCGGGACACGUGGUAUCCUGUCUGAAUAUGGGGGGACCAUCCUCCAAGGCUAAAUACUCCUGACUGACCGAUAGUGAACCAGUACCGUGAGGGAAAGGCGAAAAGAACCCCGGCGAGGGGAGUGAAAAAGAACCUGAAACCGUGUACGUACAAGCAGUGGGAGCACGCUUAGGCGUGUGACUGCGUACCUUUUGUAUAAUGGGUCAGCGACUUAUAUUCUGUAGCAAGGUUAACCGAAUAGGGGAGCCGAAGGGAAACCGAGUCUUAACUGGGCGUUAAGUUGCAGGGUAUAGACCCGAAACCCGGUGAUCUAGCCAUGGGCAGGUUGAAGGUUGGGUAACACUAACUGGAGGACCGAACCGACUAAUGUUGAAAAAUUAGCGGAUGACUUGUGGCUGGGGGUGAAAGGCCAAUCAAACCGGGAGAUAGCUGGUUCUCCCCGAAAGCUAUUUAGGUAGCGCCUCGUGAAUUCAUCUCCGGGGGUAGAGCACUGUUUCGGCAAGGGGGUCAUCCCGACUUACCAACCCGAUGCAAACUGCGAAUACCGGAGAAUGUUAUCACGGGAGACACACGGCGGGUGCUAACGUCCGUCGUGAAGAGGGAAACAACCCAGACCGCCAGCUAAGGUCCCAAAGUCAUGGUUAAGUGGGAAACGAUGUGGGAAGGCCCAGACAGCCAGGAUGUUGGCUUAGAAGCAGCCAUCAUUUAAAGAAAGCGUAAUAGCUCACUGGUCGAGUCGGCCUGCGCGGAAGAUGUAACGGGGCUAAACCAUGCACCGAAGCUGCGGCAGCGACACUAUGUGUUGUUGGGUAGGGGAGCGUUCUGUAAGCCUGUGAAGGUGUGCUGUGAGGCAUGCUGGAGGUAUCAGAAGUGCGAAUGCUGACAUAAGUAACGAUAAAGCGGGUGAAAAGCCCGCUCGCCGGAAGACCAAGGGUUCCUGUCCAACGUUAAUCGGGGCAGGGUGAGUCGACCCCUAAGGCGAGGCCGAAAGGCGUAGUCGAUGGGAAACAGGUUAAUAUUCCUGUACUUGGUGUUACUGCGAAGGGGGGACGGAGAAGGCUAUGUUGGCCGGGCGACGGUUGUCCCGGUUUAAGCGUGUAGGCUGGUUUUCCAGGCAAAUCCGGAAAAUCAAGGCUGA
rnacentral:rRNA from 1 species